rnacentral:rRNA from 1 species
UACGUAGGGUGCAAGCGUUGUCCGGAAUUAUUGGGCGUAAAGCGCGUGUAGGCGGCUAGGUAAGUCUGCUCUGAAAGCCCGGGGCUCAACCCCGGGAGGCGGGUGGAUACUGUCUAGCUCGAGUCCGGAAGAGGAGUGUGGAAUUCCUGGUGUAGCGGUGAAAUGCGCAGAUAUCAGGAGGAACACCAAUGGCGAAGGCAGCACUCUGGGACGUGACUGACGCUGAGACGCGAAAGCGUGGGGAGCAAACAGG